UGGAACCUCCUUGAGCCUCACUUUUUGCAUCCAUAGAACGGGCAUAACUCCUGAAAUCCUCUCUGGGGCUGUGCGAAGGGCAGAAGUCAUGAAUGCUGGUUUGGGGUCAGACAAAUCUGCCAUGCGUCCCACCCCUGCCCCAGCCCUGCUGCCUUAGUAGUGAGGAACUGAGCAGUUGACCUCUCACGAGGGGAGUGAGUGCGGUGACAGGGCCCCACUUCCCGGGAACAGGGAAGCAGAGAGCCCGGAGGGCAUGGAGCCCCUGGCGUGGAGUGAGCGCUCAAUGAAGAGUGGACGUCAUUUGUGAUUUUCUGUGAUUCCAGGGGAACUGCUGGCUAGCGUCACGAGUCAGAGUUCCCCAGCCUGGGUCCAGAGACUGAUUGUCAGACCUGGAUCUGACUCGGUUCUGGUUCUGAAUUUCUGAUAUCUGUAGCCUCUCUGAGCGUCAGGGAGGCUGUGAAGUGGAGGACAGGGACGAUGCCUGUCCCGAAAAUGAGGUGCAAAGCGCUUAACUUAGAUACCUGGCUCAAUACUCGGUAGUUAUUCUUGUUACUGCUAUAGUUUUCAUUUUUGGUAUUUGCCAGACAGCCCCAGGCUAGACUAGUCAGGGCUGCAUACAGGUCCCCUUCCCAGAUGAGGAAUCUGAAUUUCAGGGGGCCAGAGGCCGCAGGGAAUUAAUCCCAUUUUUCUCUCAUCCUGCCCAUCCUCAGGGGGCCCCACACCCCUCAAGUGGGACCACAGGAGAUGGGAUGACAGGACCUCCUAUCAGAGUCAGUUCCAGGCCAUGACGGGCCCACCUGCCUUGAUGUGACUCCUCCAUUGUGGCACUGGGAGACUUCAAGAUGGGCUAUGGGCCCCUGUGUUCAGAGCAGAAAGAAGCCUACAGGCCCCAGAGUCUGCCCCCAGACAGGUAUGACAAGACCCGGGCCUGGGCCCACACCCACUAUGUGAGUAUCAACCCUGGAGAUGGCCGCUUCCAUGACAGGACCGCGGAGGCUGAACAUGCCUGUGCCCGAGAACCAGGUGAGAGCCCGCCAGCUGUCCUGCCCCUUGCUGCCACGGCAGCCGCCUAGAGCUGCUCAGUGCCUCCUCUGCCCCUGGCGGAGCCUUUUGUUCUUCACCAUGACCGGACUCCGAAGUCACACAUCCUGGAAGGAAAUCGGUGCCGGGGCCCAGGCAGCCUCACCACCUCCAUGCGCUUCUUCUACGGCCAGGUCAGUUGGAAGUGGGGGCGGAGGCAGGGUUCAUCAGGGAAGAGGACUUCCCAGGUAGAGUGAAUAGAACAUGCAAAGGCCCUGAGGCAGAAGUAAGCUUGACAUGUGUACGGUGAUCUCCUGGAGGGAAAGGUAAGUCCCUUAAGGACCCCAAGCUUCCGUGACCCUGUCUUUAAAUGAGAGCAUAGCAACUCAAUGCCAUCAAAUAGGGCCCAGAGAAGGUGUGACCUGUCCAAAGUCACACAAUGCCCAGAUCUUCCCUCCAACCGCGCCUUGGGACCUCUCAGACACGGGAGCUUCCUAAAUGCCAUGUGGUCCUAUAGCCGCCACCGGCAACCAACCCACGUAGCCGCCACGUGCCUCACGAGAAAUUGCAGAGCCACGUGACCCUGGGGGAGUCGAAGCUGCUCCGACAGUUCUUCCAGACCUCCAUGGGCACGGACUAUUACCCCCGUGCCACACAACUGCUGCAGAAAGCGCGGAACCUCCACUUACUUCCGAGCAACCUGCCAGAGGACACCGGUGUUCAGCCGCCACACGUCCAAACCUCCAGAGCCCGAUUUUUUAACCAUGAACCAGAAGAUGCUGAAACCACACAGGGCAGCUCCGGCCAGAGUGACUGAGGAGAUGCUACAGCGGUGCAAGUAUAGCCACGUGGAGCCACCACUGGGCAGACAGCGCUUCUUCUCAACCCAACACGAGGAUGACUUCACCUUCAAGUACCAAGGCCCAGCAGUGCUGAGGUCGGGCAGCUUCCAGGAGAGCCACGUGCCCCUGGGCUCCCCGCGCCAGUGGGGCUGCGGGGGUGGGAAGGUGAGCCUUCAGGACCCCUGGGUUCCUACCUACCUGUGCCCUCGACAGCAAUAAACCCCAUCUUGG